rnacentral:misc_RNA from 1 species
GGCUUAAGUAGCUGUUCCUUUGUGGGUUUGCUAAUCUAAUUUGAUUUGAAGAUCUUUGACAGAAUUCCAUAAAGGAAAGAUGGGAGAUGUGUUAACUGAGAAGCAGAUUAUUGAGUUUCAGGAAGCUUUUUGUCUGCUUGACAAGGAUGGAGAUGGUCGCAUUACUUUUGAGGAAUUGGCGACUGCAAUCAAGUCCCUAGAAGAGAAUCCGACAGAAGAAGAAUUGCAGAGCAUGAUCAAUGAAGUAGAUGUUAAUGGCAAUGGAACGAUAGAGUUCGGAGAGUUCUUGAAUCUUAUGGCAAGGAAAAUGAAGGAAAGUGAAGCAGAAGAGGAAUUGAAAGAAGCAUUCAAAGUGUUUGACAAGGAUCAAGAUGGCUAUAUUUCACCUAAUGAGUUGAGGCACGUAAUGAUAAAUCUUGGAGAGAAACUGACUGAUGAAGAGUUAGAGCAGAUGAUCAAAGAGGCUGAUUUAGAUGGAGAUGGCCAAGUUAAUUACGAGGAAUUCGUCAGAAUGAUGCUUGCUGUUUGAUCAUAUUAACAGAUCCACACAACUUCUAGCUUUAAAUAAACUUAUCAAACCCCACGUAUGGUCCUAUACUAUCAUUUCUUGCACAUCCUUUACUCCAAUUUGUACAUUCUUCUAGUAAAUAAUAAAGUGCACUAAUAGCAAUUUCACCUUGAA